rnacentral:rRNA from 1 species
GCGGUAAGGCCCUUCGGGGUACACCAGCGGCGAACGGGUGAGUAACACGUGGGUGAUCUGCCUUGCACUUCGGGAUAAGCCUGGGAAACUGGGUCUAAUACCGGAUAUGACCACGGAAUGCAUGUUCUGUGGUGGAAAGAUUUAUCGGUGCGAGAUGGGCCCGCGGCCUAUCAGCUUGUUGGUGAGGUAACGGCUCACCAAGGCGACGACGGGUAGCCGACCUGAGAGGGUGACCGGCCACACUGGGACUGAGACACGGCCCAGACUCCUACGGGAGGCAGCAGUGGGGAAUAUUGCACAAUGGGCGCAAGCCUGAUGCAGCGACGCCGCGUGCGGGAUGACGGCCUUCGGGUUGUAAACCGCUUUUGACAGGGACGAAGCGCAAGUGACUGUACCUGUAGAAUAAGGACCGGCCAACUACGUGCCAGCAGCCGCGGUAAUACGUAGGGUCCGAGCGUUGUCCGGAAUUACUGGGCGUAAAGAGCUUGUAGGCGGUUCGUCGCGUCGUUUGUGAAAACUUGGGGCUCAACCUUAAGCUUGCAGGCGAUACGGGCGGACUAGAGUACUUCAGGGGAGACUGGAAUUCCUGGUGUAGCGGUGAAAUGCGCAGAUAUCAGGAGGAACACCGGUGGCGAAGGCGGGUCUCUGGGAAG